ACUUAGCUAGGUGGACAUGGUACAAAGCCACAUUACCACGCUAAGUGUGGCUUUGAUUUUUAGAAACAACCGCCUCAUGCUAAGUCUAGGGAAUACAGUGGUUGAAUGGGGUGAGCGCUGACCUUUAGCUAUUCUGGAGGAACAUGUCACUUUCACUUAUUUUCUUUCAUGCUUUCCCACACAGUGCUAUGGACUCUGAUCGCCCAACCAGAGCAAACCCAGAAGGACAACUCUCCAAGCCUUUCAAUCACUCCCACUAACCAACCCGUAGUGUGGACACACUAUUGUGAGGCCUACUAAGGAUGUACUGCUGAUGACCUUUUGAAGGGAACCCUUCCACCAUCAUGUGAAGAAGCGUGGUCUAGCCUGCUGGAGGAUGAGAGAUCACAUGGAAUGAGGCCAAAACCAUUCCAGCCAAAGCCCCAGUAAUAGAAUUAAGAUCAUCCAAGACCAUGGCAUCCCGCCUGAGAAGUUCAGAUGAGAAGGGCCACCUGAACAACCAACAGAAUCUUAAAAAGUAAAAAAUGAGUGUUACCACUAUGCAUCUAUUAGAAUGGCAGAAAUCGAAGACACUGACAACAGCAAAUGCUGGUGAGGGUGUGGAGCAACAGGAACUCUCACUCACUGAAGAUGGAAAUGCAAAAUAGUGCAGCUACUUUGGAAAACAGUUUGGCUGUUUCUUACAACACUAAACAUGCUAUUAUUAUAUGAUCCAGAAAUUUUGCUCCUUAGCACUUACCCAAAAAAGUUGAAAACUUAUGUACACACAAAAACCUGCACAUGGAUAUUUAUAGCAGUUUUUGAUAUGGUUUGGCUCUGUGUCCCCACAGAAAUCUCAUCUUGUAUUUGUAUAAAUUUAUGGGGUACAAGUGUAAUUUUGUCAACAUGCAUAGACAUGCAUAGACUGCAUAGCUCCCAUAAUUCCCACAUGUUGUGGGAGGGACCUGGUGGGAGGUGAUUGAAUCAUAGGGGCAGGUCUUUCCUGUCCUGUUCUUGUGAUAGUGAGUGGGUCUCACAAGAUCUGAUGGUUUUAAAUAACAGGAAUUUAUCUGCACAAGCUCUUUUAUUUUGCCUGCUGCCAUCCACAUAAUAUGUGACUUGCUCCUCCUUGCCUUCUACCAUGAUUGUGAGGCCUCCCCAGCCAUGUGGAACUGUAAAUUCAGUUAAAUCUCUUUCUUUUGUAAAUUGCCCAGUCUUGGGUAUGUCUUUAUCAGCAGAGUAAAUGUGGACUAAUACA